rnacentral:rRNA from 1 species
CCCUUAGAUGGUCUGGGCGGCACGCGCGCUACAAUGAUGCAUUCAAAAAGUCUUCUGACCUUAGAAGGUUGGGUAUUCUCCAAAGUGCAUCGUGAUGGGAAUAGUUUAUUGCAAUUUUUAAUCUUGAACGAGGAAUUCCUAAUAAGUACAGGUCAUCAACUUGUGUUGAUUACGUCCCUGCCCUUUGUACACACCGCCCGUCGCUCCUACUGAUUGAGUGUCUCGGUGAAUUCUUUGAUCUUCUGUCGAUUCAGUUCACUGAUCCGACGGUGGAAAGUUGAAUGAACUUCGUCACUUAGAGGAAGGAGAAGUCGUAACA